rnacentral:sRNA from 1 species
UCAGCCCAACAUGGCGAUGCACAACAAGGCGGCGCCGCCGCAGAUCCCGGACACCCGGCGGGAGCUGGCGGAGCUCGUGAAGCGGAAGCAGGAGCUGGCGGAAACAUUGGCAAACUUGGAGCGACAGAUCUAUGCUUUUGAGGGAAGCUACCUGGAAGACACUCAGAUGUAUGGCAAUAUUAUUCGUGGCUGGGAUCGGUAUCUGACCAACCAAAAAAACUCCAAUAGCAAAAAUGAUCGAAGGAACCGGAAGUUUAAGGAAGCUGAGCGGCUCUUCAGUAAAUCCUCAGUUACCUCAGCAGCUGCAGUAAGUGCAUUGGCAGGAGUUCAGGACCAGCUCAUUGAAAAGAGGGAGCCAGGAAGUGGGACGGAAAGUGACACUUCUCCAGACUUCCACAAUCAGGAAAAUGAGCCCAGCCAGGAGGACCCUGAGGAUCUGGAUGGAUCUGUGCAGGGAGUGAAACCUCAGAAGGCUGCUUCUUCUACUUCCUCAGGGAGUCACCACAGCAGCCAUAAAAAGCGAAAGAAUAAAAACCGGCACAGGUAUGUAUAUUAGGUUAGGCUGGGAAGUUUUUUUUAAAAACAGAAAAACGUGAUGGAGGAUUGAUCUGAAGUUAAACAAAAAACCACGAGCUGACUAUUAGAAGACACAUUAGUGCAGAAGCUUCCAGGCUGUAGAGCCCUGCUUCCCUUCUCUGACCUCGCAAAGAUAAACAUCCUUCACCUGAGUUCGUGGCCAUCCACCUCUGCUCUCCCAGACCCAGUGCCUGUGACUUUGAGUAGUUUGUUCUAAAUGUGGUGACAAACAAGUCAUUUCUGUAAGACAUUGGGUCUUACUUUAUGUCAUUUUUAGUAACAGAACUGCAGGAAGAUCAAGACAAUGUUGUAAUCCCGGCAAGUUGCUAACUGUGCGUUUCUCCCUUCUUAGAAUGAAUGUCUCCCCCAAAACUGGCUGGCACCAGCUUCAUCUGUGAUACCCAUCAAGAAAUGUUCUCUGGUUUUGUUUUAUGCUGAAAGUAGAACACAAGUCACAUUUCAGAUGGAGGCUGUAAAUAUCUGGCAUUUUCUUAUAUUGUUUUAUGUUUUCUUGUUUUUCUCUUGUUGUUUUUAUCUUAUUUUCUUUGGGGUUUUUUUGUAAUGCCUUUGUACAGCUCAUACUUUCCUGCUGACAUAUCUGAUCAUUUCUUUCAUGCAGUUGCCAUAUUCAUAACUGAAAAUAAUCUGGUUUAUCAUAAGUAAAAUGGGAAACUUGCCUCUGUUUUUUGCAAGGGGAGGUAAAGAGUGUUUAGUAAUUACCUAUCUUAAAUCUUUCUGAGUUGGUAGUAGAUUCAUGUUCAAGGAACAGGAAAAAUGGAAAAACAUAAGUUUAAAUCAGUUAUUUUUAAAUAACUAUUUUUAUUCUUUUGUAU